AUGCGAUUCUUGACAAACUGCAUAAGUGCAUGCUUUCACAUCCUGUACAAGUUUAUUGAACUUACAAGGUUGCACAGCCGGUUCUUGCCGACGUGCCCUUCUCGUUGGUGCCGGCGGAACCCACAGCGUCAUCAGUGUCAGGAGGAACCGGGGGAGGAAGAGAACAUCAGCAGCCCCUGCAACACGGGCUCAUGCAGGCUACUGCGGCGAUGCCAGUGCCAAGGCGAGCGCGAGCCAUGGCAGCAGCAUCUCCCGGUACCUGACCAAGAUCUGCCCGGCUGGCAUGUUGAUGGCUUCCUCUUGGACGGUGCCACAAUCUCAGCUAGAGUCAUAGUCUCCAUACCGGGAUUGAGGUGGUCCAUUCAUCUUUGGAACAGAUUUGGCACAAAUAGGUGGAAUAAGAACGAAUAUUUCUUGUGGCUUAUGAUGGCAGGGUGA
rnacentral:rRNA from 1 species